GCCGGCUGGUUUGUGCACAUGCGGGCAGUCUCUCCUUCUCCCUCUGUGCUGGCUCCGGGCUGAGGAAGUCCUCGGUCAGUGGCAGUGGCUGGCGCCUUCCAACUGUGAAAACGGAGUGAGCCGUCGCUAGGGCUGCUCUGGGCAAGAAACAGGGCAGGAGAGCAGGCCACUGUGCAGACGGGGCUCAGUGGAUCUGGGGUGGCCCAGGAACUGGGUCUGGUGCAGAAGGCUCUCCAGCAGGGGUUUGAGGUAAGCUGAUUCUGGAGGAUGAAUUGAUCAUCGCCAGAUGAAGGCAGUGAAAAAGGGCAGACCGCGCAGAAGUCCCUUCAUGUACGGAAUACUGGAGACCUGAAAGAGCAUGAGUCAGAUUUCAGUAGGUCUGAAGUUUGGGGCUAAGGGGAGAAAUGUUGAGAGAUGAGACUGGAGGGCUGGUCACAACCCUGUGUAUCUUGCUGUUUGUUUAGAAUGCUCUUGGUUACUAGUAGCAGAAGAUUCCAAUUCAGCUGAUGUAAACAACAAGGACAUGUCACAGCCUCACAUACUGGAAGUCUAGAGGUGGAGUGGCUCCAGGCUCGCUUAAUUCAGUGGCUCAACCCUGCCAUCAGGUUCCUACCAUCUACAGACUAGCUCUCCUCCUGGUUUCAAAAUGGCUGCCAUCCUUUCAGGCAUCGCAUCCAGAUACAGCAACAUCUACCAGAAGAUGGAACUAGCACUAUGCCUGAAACCUGAAAUUACAGCAGCUGAAACAAAAUAACAAUUUGCCGCUCAUGAAACAGUCACGGUGUCAGGAACCCGGGCUCCUUCCAUCUUGUUGCUCCGCCAUCACUUUCUGCUGCCCUGAUGCUAUGCUGCAAGAUGGUGCACCAUUGCCCCUGCCUUCCAGCCUGUGGGAUGGAAUAAAAAGACAAAGGAAGGGCACGCUUAUUCCUUUUAAGGGCAUGACAUGGAAUCACACAUUCCAUUUGUAUAUCUUACAGUGGCCCGAACUUAGUCACAUGGUGUGAUACUGUGAUUUAUAAUAAGAAAUAUAUUUUUGGUCUUUGACCCGUUUCUGGCACAGAGCUCCUAAAACCCUUGGAAUUUCCUAAGAGAUGAGAGUGCAAAAGGUGUCUUUUGUUAUGGGAAUGAGGUGAUGCUUGGACUACAAUUAAGGGUUGGGGCUGGGUGCCAGGCAAACCAACCAUGUGAUUAGAGGUCUGGAACUUUCAGUGCCACCCCCUCACCUCCGGGGAGGGGAGAGGGGCUGGAGAGUGAAUCCAAUGGCCCAAUGGCCAAUGAGUUAACCAAGCAUGCCUACGUAAUGAAGUGAAUCCCAAGUGAGGGGCGAGACAGGGGACAGCCUGGUGGGACUGAGCCCCUAACCAGUGGGAUCUGAUGCCAUCUGCAGGUAGAUGGUGUUAGAAUUGAGUUGAA
rnacentral:lncRNA from 1 species